rnacentral:rRNA from 1 species
GAUGAACGCUGGCGGCGUGCCUAAUACAUGCAAGUCGAGCGAACAUACGAGGAGCUUGCUCCUCUGACGUUAGCGGCGGACGGGUGAGCAACACGUGGAUAACCUACUUAUAAGACUGGGAUAACUUCGGGAAACCGGAGCUAAUACCGGAUAAUAUAUUGAACCGCAUGGUUCAAUAGUGAAAGACGGUUUUGCUGUCACUUAUAGAUGGAUCCGCGCCGCAUUAGCUAGUUGGUAAGGUAACGGCUUACCAAGGCAACGAUGCGUAGCCGACCUGAGAGGGUGAUCGGCCACACUGGAACUGAGGCACGGUCAAGACUCCUGCGGGAGGCAGCAGUAGGGAAUCUUCCGCAAUGGGCGAAAGCCUGACGGAGCAACGCCGCGUGAGUGAUGAAGGUCUUCGGAUCGUAAAACUCUGUUAUGAGGGAGGAACAAAUGUGUAAGUACCUAUGCACGUCUUGACGGUACCUAAUCAAAAAGCCACGGCUAACUACGUG